rnacentral:rRNA from 1 species
AACGAACGCUGGCGGCAGGCUUAACACAUGCAAGUCGAGCGCCCCGCAAGGGGAGCGGCAGACGGGUGAGUAACGCGUGGGAACGUACCUUUUGGUUCGGAACAACUCCGGGAAACUGGAGCUAAUACCGGAUAAGCCCUAACGGGGAAAGAUUUAUCGCCAAAAGAUCGGCCCGCGUCUGAUUAGCUAGUUGGUGAGGUAACGGCUCACCAAGGCGACGAUCAGUAGCUGGUCUGAGAGGAUGAUCAGCCACACUGGGACUGAGACACGGCCCAGACUCCUACGGGAGGCAGCAGUGGGGAAUAUUGGACAAUGGGCGCAAGCCUGAUCCAGCCAUGCCGCGUGAGUGAUGAAGGCCUUAGGGUUGUAAAGCUCUUUUGUCCGGGAAGAUAAUGACUGUACCGGAAGAAUAAGCCCCGGCUAACUUCGUG